GCUGAUAGCUCAAUUGGUAGCGUGCUUGCUUCUCAUGCACAAAGCCCUGGGUUCAAUUCCCAGUAUCAUCA
rnacentral:tRNA from 1 species